rnacentral:lncRNA from 1 species
CCAGCCAGCAGUGGUAACCUGCUGGGGUUCCCUUCCACGCUGUGGGAGGUUUGUUCUUUCGCUCUUUGCAAUAAUUCUUGCUGCUGCUCACUCCUUGGGUCCACACUGCCUUUAUGAGCUGUAACACUCACUGUGAAGGUCUGCAGCUUCAGUCCUGAAGCCAGCGAGACCACGAGCCCACCAGAAGGAACGAACGACUGCAGACGUGCCGCCUUAAGAGCUAUAACACUCACCUCGAAGAUCCGCAGCUUCACUCCUGAGCCAGCGAGACCAAGAACCCACCAGAAGGAAGAAACUGCCAACACAUCCGAACAUCAGAAGGAACGAGCUCCAGACACGCAGCCUUUAAGAACUGUAACACUCACUGCGAGGGUUCGCGGCUUCAUUCUUGAAGUCAGUGAGACCAAGAACCCACCAAUUCCGGACCCACUGGCAUUACAGGCGUGAAUCACUGUGUCUGGCCAAAAAGGAUCUAAUCUUAUAGCAGUGGAAUGAGGGGGAAGCCCAGCAAGGCCCAUCUGUUUGGAGUCUUCCUGGACUUCUGGGGCCUGACCCUUUUGGAACGGGGGUUUUAAGAUUCAUAAUCGACAAAGAGAGAAUAGGAGGAAAAAGAAACUCGCUGAGGCUGUUCCAAACAGGAAACCGACUAUGCUGUCUAUUAAUCUCCAUUCUCC